rnacentral:rRNA from 1 species
AGAGUUUGAUCCUGGCUCAGGACGAACGCUGGUGGCGUGCCUAACACAUGCAAGUCGAGCGGAUGAAGUUCCUUCGGGAACGGAUUUAGCGGCGGACGGGUGAGUAACACGUGGGCAACCUGCCUCAUAGAGGGGAAUAGCCUUCCGAAAGGGAGAUUAAUACCGCAUAAGAUUGUAGUACCGCAUGGUACAGCAAUUAAAGGAAUAAUCCGCUAUGAGAUGGGCCCGCGGCGCAUUAACUAGUUGGGGAGGGAACGGGUCACCAAGGCGACCAUGCGUAGCCCACCUGAAAGGGUGAUCGGCCACCUUGGGACUGAAACACCGCCCAGACUCCUACCGGAGGCAGCAGUGGGGAAUAUUGCACAAUGGGGGAAACCCUGACUGCAGCAACGCCGCGUGAGUGAUGACGGCCUUCGGGUUGUAAAGCUCUGUCUUCAGGGACGAUAAUGACGGUACCUGAGGAGGAAGCCCCGGCUAACUACGUGCCAGCAGCCGCGGUAAUACGUAGGUGGCGAGCGUUGUCCGGAUUUACUGGGCGUAAAGGGAGCGUAGGCGGAUUUUUAAGUGAGAUGUGAAAUACUCGGGCUUAACCUGAGUGCUGCAUUUCAAACUGGAAGUCUAGAGUGCAGGAGAGGAGAAGGGAAUUCCUAGUGUAGCGGUGAAAUGCGUAGAGAUUAGGAAGAACACCAGUGGCGAAGGCGCUUCUCUGGACUGUAACUGACGCUGAGGCUCGAAAGCGUGGGGAGCAAACAGGAUUAGAUACCCUGGUAGUCCACGCCGUAAACGAUGAAUACUAAGUGUAGGGGUUGGUCAUGACCUCUGUUGCGCCGCUAACGCAUUAAGUAUUCCGCGUGGGGAGUACGGUCGCAAGAUUAAUACUCAAAGGAAUUGACGGGGGCCCGCACCAGCAGCGGAGCAUGUGGUUUUAUUAGAAGCAACGCGAACAUCCUUACCUAGACUCGUCAUCUCCUGCAUUACUAUUUAUAGAGGAAGUCCCUUCGGGGACAGGAUGACAGGUGGUGCAUGGUUGUCGUCAGCUCGUGUCGUGAGAUGUUGGGUUAAGUCCCGCAACGAGCGCAACCCUUAUUGUUAGUUGCCAUCAUUAAGUUGGGCACUCUAGCGAGACUGCCCGGGUUAACCGGGAGGAAGGUGGGGAUGACGUCAAAUCAUCAUGCCCCUUAUGUCUAGGGCUACACACGUGCUACAAUGGUCGGUACAAUAAGACGCAAGCCCGCGAGGGGGAGCAAAACUGGAAAACCGAUCUCAGUUCGGAUUGUAGGCUGAAACUCGCCUACAUGAAGCUGGAGUUGCUAGUAAUCGCGAAUCAGCAUGUCGCGGUGAAUACGUUCCCGGGCCUUGUACACACCGCCCGUCA